rnacentral:SRP_RNA from 1 species
AACUUAAUUUUUUGAAAGAUUUUUUAAAUUAUUUUUUAAUUUUUAUGUCUGCAUAAUAGGCAUAUCUAUUUAGGGGUAUAUGAGAUAUUUUGAUCAGGUGUGCACACUAAGUUUGGCCUCAAUAUGGUGACCUCCCAGGAACGGGGGACCACCAGGUUGCCUCAGGAGGGGUGAACUGGCCCAGGUCAGAAACGGAGCAGGUCAAAACUCCCAUGCUGAUAAGUAGUGCAGUCGCGCCUGUGAAUAGCCACUGCGCUCCAGCCUGGGCAACAUA